rnacentral:rRNA from 1 species
GACGAACGCUGGCGGCGUGCUUAACACAUGCAAGUCGAACGGGCCCGCUCUCUUUUUUGGGGGUGGGUUGAGUGGCGAACGGGUGAGUAUCACGUGAGUAACCUGCCCCCUGCUCCUGGAUAACUGCUUGAAAGGGCGGCUAAUACGGGGUGUGCCGGCUGGUCCGCAUGGGCCUGGUCGGGAUAGUUUCAUCUUCGGGUGUUUCGGUGGGGGAUGGGCUCGCGGCCUAUCAGCUUGUUGGUGGGGUGAUGGCCCACCAAGGCGGUGACGGGUAGCCGGCCUGGGAGGGUGGGCGGCCACACUGGGACUGAGACACGGCCCAGACUCCGGCGGGAGGCAGCAGUGGGGGGUAUUGCACAAUGGGCGGAAGCCUGAUGCAGCGACGUCGCGUGAGGGAUGGAGGCCUUCGGGUUGUGAACCUCUUUCUCCGGUGGUGAAGGCCCUGUCCGUUGCGGCGGGGUUGACGGUAGCCGGGUAUGAAGCGCCGGCUAACUACGUG